rnacentral:rRNA from 1 species
GACGAACGCUGGCGGCGUGCUUAACACAUGCAAGUCGAACGGAAAGGCCCCUUUGGGGGUACUCGAGUGGCGAACGGGUGAGUAACACGUGAGUAACCUGCCCUUGACUUCGGGAUAACUUCAGGAAACUGGGGCUAAUACCGGAUAGGAAUCCUUGCUGCAUGGUGGGGGUUGGAAAGCUUCGGCGGUUUUGGAUGGACUCGCGGCUUAUCAGCGUGUUGGUGGGGUAGUGGCUUACCAAGGCUUUGACGGGUAGCCGGCCUGAGAGGGCGAGCGGCCACAUUGGGACUGAGAUACGGCCCAGACUCCUACGGGAGGCAGCAGUGGGGAAUAUUGCACAAUGGGCGGAAGCCGGAUGCAGCAACGCCGCGUGCGGGAUGGCGGCCUUCGGGUUGUAAACCGCUUUCAGCAGGGGCGAAGCUUGUGGUGACGGUACCUGCAGAAGAAGCACCGGCUAACUACGUG